rnacentral:misc_RNA from 1 species
UCUAGAGAGUUCUUGACAUGUUGUGUGUAAGAUGACAAUUUUAUUGUUGUUUCCCUUUUCUCGAUACUAUUACAAAAGGAAGUCCUUCCUUGCAUUAGAAGGCUUUGCUAUAUUGAAGCAAGAAGGAUUAAUAGUCCCGUAGCUCAGUUGGUUAGAGCACUACACUGAUAAUGUAGGGGUCAGCAGUUCAAAUCUGCUCGGGACUACUUUUUAUAUUUAGAAUAUUCAUUAUUUGUUUAACGAAUAUUCUCUAUUCUACCCAUUCGUAUUUGCGAUAUUAGUGGUAGAAGAAGUUCAUUGACAUAUUGGAAUUGAUUGAAGUAGAUAAGAAUAACUAGUAAAAAUAGAGAUUAA